CCAAACAUCUAGACCCUCUAAAAGACGGCCUGACAGCCCUAUCCCAGCGCACACAAGGGCUGGAAAACAAAAUGGCCGAGGUCACCACUACCACCUCAGCCCACGAGGCUUCCCUAUGAGAACUACGGGAACAACUUGCAAUCCUAGAAGAGGCACAGGAGGAGCUAAACAACAGGUUCCGGCGGAAUAAUAUCCGCAUCCGGGGACUGCCGGAGUCCUCCGCACCGGAGGCUCUUAAUGCCAUACUGCACGAAGCCUUCAGCCAUCUCUUACCCGAUGCAGCACCAGCAGACCUCCUUCUUGACAGGGCGCACAGGGCCCUCCGCCCUCCCUCCGUGAACCCCACUCAGCCUCGGGAUAUUAUUAUACGCUGCCACUUCUUCCAUAUCAAGGAAGCCAUCAUGCGUGCAGUGAGGGUGAGCCCAUUACAAGUAGAAGGCCAUGCGGUCCAAUUGUUCCAUGACCUGGCACCCACUACCCUGCGAAAACGUAGGGAGCUGAAACCGCUGACCCAGGCCUUACAAGCCCGAAGGAUCCGGUACUCCUGGGGCCACCCCUUCAAGCUAAACAUCAGGCACGACAACCGCACAUUCACGGUUCACAAACCUUCUGAGAUGCAAGAUAUUGCCGCCCAAAUCGGCCUCCGUGACCUAAGUCAAGAACUCAGCACGACUCACCUGCGUCCUGAGUCCCAAGACCAUGCAUGGGAACCGCAACCCCAGAGAGAGCGCAGCGGCAGACUGCACC